AUUGAACGCUGGCGGCAGGCCUAACACAUGCAAGUCGAGCGGGGUUUUCGGACCUAGCGGCGGACGGGUGAGUAAUGCGUAGGAAGCUACCCGAUAGAGGGGGAUACCAGUUGGAAACGACUGUUAAUACCGCAUAAUGUCUACGGACCAAAGUGUGGGACCUUCGGGCCACAUGCUAUCGGAUGCGCCGACGUGGGAUUAGCUAGUUGGUGAGGUAAUGGCUCACCAAGGCGACGAUCUCUAGCUGGUUUGAGAGGAUGAUCAGCCACACUGGAACUGAGACACGGUCCAGACUCCUACGGGAGGCAGCAGUGGGGAAUAUUGGACAAUGGGCGCAAGCCUGAUCCAGCCAUGCCGCGUGUGUGAAGAAGGCCUUCGGGUUGUAAAGCACUUUCAGCGAGGAGGAAGAGUUGUGUGUUAAUAGUACACAGCUUUGACGUUACUCGCAGAAGAAGCACCGGCUAACUCUGUGCCAGCCGCCGCAGUAA
rnacentral:rRNA from 1 species